rnacentral:rRNA from 2 species
UGGGGAAUAUUGCACAAUGGAGGGAUCUCUGAUGCAGCGACGCCGCGUGAACGAAGAAGGCUUUCGAGUCGUAAAGUUCUUUUAUAUGGGAAGAUAAUGACGGUACCAUAAGAAAAAGCCCCGGCUAACUACGUGCCAGCAGCCGCGGUAAUACGUAGGGGGCUAGCGUUGUCCGGAAUCACUGGGCGUAAAGGGUUCGCAGGCGGAAAUGCAAGUCAGGUGUAAAAGGCAGUAGCUUAACUACUGUAAGCAUUUGAAACUGCAUAUCUUGAGAAGAGUAGAGGUAAGUGGAAUUUUUAGUGUAGCGGUGAAAUGCGUAGAUAUUAAAAAGAAUACCGGUGGCGAAGGCGACUUACUGGGCUCAUUCUGACGCUGAGGAACGAAAGCGUGGGUAGCAAACAGG